GGGUGGCGCUACCAUGCAGUCGAGCGGAUGACAGGAGCUUGCUCCUGAAUUCAGCGGCGGACGGGUGAGUAAUGCCUAGGAAUCUGCCUGGUAGUGGGGGACAACGUUUCGAAAGGAACGCUAAUACCGCAUACGUCCUACGGGAGAAAGCAGGGGACCUUCGGGCCUUGCGCUAUCAGAUGAGCCUAGGUCGGAUUAGCUAGUUGGUGAGGUAAUGGCUCACCAAGGCGACGAUCCGUAACUGGUCUGAGAGGAUGAUCAGUCACACUGGAACUGAGACACGGUCCAGACUCCUACGGGAGGCAGCAGUGGGGAAUAUUGGACAAUGGGCGAAAGCCUGAUCCAGCCAUGCCGCGUGUGUGAAGAAGGUCUUCGGAUUGUAAAGCACUUUAAGUUGGGAGGAAGGGCAUUAACCUAAUACGUUACUGUUUUGACGUUACCGACAGAAUAAGCACCGGCUAACUCUGUGCCAGCAGCCGCGGUAAUACAGAGGGUGCAAGCGUUAAUCGGAAUUACUGGGCGUAAAGCGCGCGUAGGUGGUUUGUUAAGUUGGAUGUGAAAGCCCCGGGCUCAACCUGGGAACUGCAUUCAAAACUGACAAGCUAGAGUAUGGUAGAGGGUGGUGGAAUUUCCUGUGUAUCGGUAAAUUGCCGUAAAAAAAAAUUUGAUUUUAUUUUUCCGCGGUCCAA
rnacentral:rRNA from 1 species